rnacentral:rRNA from 1 species
CGUAAAGCGCGUGCAGGGCGGUUUGGUAAGUUGGAUGUGAAAGCUCCCGGCUCAACUGGGAGACGUCGUUCAAUACUGCCAGGUAGAGGAUUGGUAGAGGGAGGUGGAAUUCCCGGUGUAGUGGUGAAAUGCGUAGAUAUCGGGAGGAACACCCAGUGGCGAAGGCGGCCUCCUGGGCCCAUUCCUGACGCUCAGACGCGAAAGCUAGGGGAGCGAACGGGAUUAGAAACCCCGGUAGUCCUAGCUGUAAACGAUGUGGACUUGGCGUUGGUGGGGUAUAAGCCAUCAGUGCCGUAGCUAACGCGAUAAGUCCACCGCCUGGGGACUACGGUCGCAAGGCUAAAACUCAAAGGAAUUGACGGGGACCCGCACAAGCAGCGGAGCGUGUGGUUUAAUUCGAUGCUACGCGAAGAACCUUACCCGGGUUUGAUAUACUGGUGGUAGGGAUCCGAAAGGUGACCGACCCUUCGGGGAGCCAGUACAGGUGCUGCAUGGCUGUCGUCAGCUCGUGCCGUGAGGUGUCCGGUUAAGUCCGGUAACGAGCGCAACCCUCGCCGCAUGUUAUACGUAUCAUACGGGACUGCCGGUAUAAAGCCGGAGGAAGGUGGGGAUGACGUCAAGUCAGCAUGGCCUUUAUGUCCGGGGCUACACA